GUGCUACUCACUUUGGCAGUACAUAUACUAAAAUUGGAGGAAUACAAAGAAGACUACCAUGGCCUCUGUGCAAGGAUAACACACAAAUUUGUCAAGCAUUCCAAAUUUUU
rnacentral:snRNA from 1 species